rnacentral:tRNA from 1 species
GCCCGGGUGGCGAAACGGAAGACGCAGCACGCUCAGCUCGUGUGGCCUAUCGGCAUGAGGGUUCGACUCCCUCCCCGGGUA